rnacentral:rRNA from 1 species
GAUGAACGCUGGCGGCGUGCCUAACGCAUGCAAGUCGAGCGAUUUACUUCGGUAAAGAGCGGCGGACGGGUGAGUAACGCGUGGGUAACCUGCCCUGUACACACGGAUAACAUACCGAAAGGUAUGCUAAUACGAGAUAAUAUGCUUUUAUCGCAUGGUAGAAGUAUCAAAGCUUUUGCGGUACAGGAUGGACCCGCGUCUGAUUAGCUAGUUGGUGAGGUAACGGCUCACCAAGGCGACGAUCAGUAGCCGACCUGAGAGGGUGAUCGGCCACAUUGGAACUGAGACACGGUCCAAACUCCUACGGGAGGCAGCAGUGGGGAAUAUUGCACAAUGGGCGAAAGCCUGAUGCAGCAACGCCGCGUGAGCGAUGAAGGCCUUCGGGUCGUAAAGCUCUGUCCUCAAGGAAGAUAAUGACGGUACUUGAGGAGGAAGCCCCGGCUAACUACGUG